GGUAUUGGAUUCUAUACCCAUCUUCCCCAAUUACGGGACAAUAUACCAUCUGGCAAAGUCACCUGCAUAUUGGCUCUCCGUCUUGGUUAUAAUAGUCUUAGCAUUACUCCCUCGCUUUAUUUGGAAAGUUAUACAUUAAAAUUUUUGGCCUUCAGAUAUCCAGAUAGCUAGAGAAGCUGAGAUACUGAGAAAAGAACCUAAUUAUUUUGGGUCUAAGCCAGAUCCAGGUUCCAGUUAAUAUGUAUAUUAUUAACUGAUCCAAUUUGCUAUGACCUGGCCAGAGUUUGUCCAGCCAAAUGUGAAAUUUAAUGUUCAUAUGAAAGUGACACAAGCUGACAUCAUUCCAAUUGGAUUUAGCAUUUAAAAUGACACAAAGGGAAGAGAGGGAAGUGCAGAUCCGAGGGGGAAUGCAGAGCCGAAGGGAGGGUGAGGGUUUGGUUGAUACUAAUGAUAAGAUGGUCUGGUCGGGGAGUCUUCCUACCACAUCAUGUAGCGGUAAUACAUCACAUGGCUCAGUUUCAGCUGUUCAGGGAACAACAGCGAUAAAUGGAAAAAGUGCGUUGGAGACAAUGAUGGAGAGGCUGGAUUACAAGUUAACAAAACUCAGAUUCCGAAUAUAAUUGCAGAGACGCAAUGCAUAGAGAGGGGCAUCCAAUUGUGGUGAACUAGGUUGAUAUGGUAGGAAAAUGAUUUGUGUGUGAAUGUGGUUAUUGUGAAUGAGAAUAUGAAUAUCAAGUUGGCUCAAAUGUCCAUAUUUGUAUUUUGGUGAACUCAGAUUCCUAUUUUGGCUCAAAUAGAGGGACAUCCAAUUUUGGUGACUCCUUAAUGUAAUUCAAAUGAUUUGUGUGUGAAUGUUUUUGUUUUUUUUUUUGGUGACUCCUUAAUGUAAUUCAUUUGAUAAGAUUUUACUAUGUGAAUGGGAGUUAUUAUUUCAUAUUAAUGUUAUUUUUCAGUUUUAUUAUAGGUUUUUUUUGGGUUCAAUAACCUAAAAUUAGCACAAUUAAAAAAAGAAAAAAAAGGG